CGAACGGGUGAGUAAUGCGUGACCAACCUGCCCCAUGCUCCAGAAUAGCUCUUGGAAACGGGUAGUAAUGCUGGAUGCUCCAACUUGACGCAUGUCUUGUUGGGAAAGUGUUUAGUGGCAUGGGAUGGGGUCGCGUCCUAUCAGCUUGUAGGCGGGGUAAUGGCCCACCUAGGCUUCGACGGGUAGCCGGCCUGAGAGGGCGGACGGCCACAUUGGGACUGAGAUACGGCCCAGACUCCUACGGGAGGCAGCAGCG
rnacentral:rRNA from 1 species